GUGUCAGCAGCCGCGGUAAUACGGAGGGUGCAAGCGUUGUUCGGAAUUACUGGGCGUAAAGCGCGUGCAGGCGGCCGAUUAAGUCUGGUGUGAAAGCCCGGGGCUCACCCCCGGAAGUGCGCUGGAAACUGAUCGGCUAGAGUACGGGAGAGGGAAGUGGAAUUCCUGGUGUAGCGGUGAAAUGCGUAGAUAUCAGGAGGAACACCGGCGGCGAAGGCGGCUUCCUGGACCGAUACUGACGCUGAGACGCGAAAGCGUGGGGAGCAAACAGGAUUAGAUACCCUGGUAGUCCACGCCGUAAACGAUGGGUACUAGGUGUCGCGGGUGUUGACCCCUGCGGUGCCGCAGCUAACGCAUUAAGUACCCCGCCUGGGGACUACGGUCGCAAGAUUAAAACUUAAAUGAAUUGACGGGG
rnacentral:rRNA from 1 species